rnacentral:rRNA from 1 species
UACGGGGGGGGCAAGCGUUGUUCGGAAUUACUGGGCGUAAAGGGCUCGUAGGUGGCCAACUAAGUCAGACGUGAAAUCCCUCGGCUUAACCGGGGAACUGCGUCUGAUACUGGAUGGCUUGAGUUUGGGAGAGGGAUGCGGAAUUCCAGGUGUAGCGGUGAAAUGCGUAGAUAUCUGGAGGAACACCGGUGGCGAAGGCGGCGAUCCUGGACCAACACUGACACUGAGGAGCGAAAGCCAGGGG